AGAGUUUGAUCAUGGCUCAGAUUGAACGCUGGCGGCAGGCUUAACACAUGCAAGUCGAACGAUGAUUACUAGCUUGCUAGUAUGAUUAGUGGCGAACGGGUGAGUAAUGCUUAGGAAUCUACCUAUUAGUGGGGGACAACAUUCCGAAAGGAAUGCUAAUACCGCAUACGUCCUAUGGGGGAAAGCAGGGGAUCGCAAGACCUUGUGCUAAUAGAUGAGCCUAAGUCGGAUUAGCUAGUUGGUGGGGUAAAGGCCUACCAAGGCGACGAUCUGUAGCUGGUCUGAGAGGAUGACCAGCCACACUGGGACUGAGACACGGCCCAGACUCCUACGGGAGGCAGCAGUGGGGAAUAUUGGACAAUGGGCGAAAGCCUGAUCCAGCCAUGCCGCGUGUGUGAAGAAGGCCUUUUGGUUGUAAAGCACUUUAAGUGGGGAGGAAAAGUUGACGGUUAAUACCCGCCAGCCCUGACGUUACCCACAGAAUAAGCACCGGCUAACUCUGUGCCAGCAGCCGCGGUAAUACAGAGGGUGCAAGCGUUAAUCGGAAUUACUGGGCGUAAAGCGAGCGUAGGUGGUCAUUUAAGUCAGAUGUGAAAUCCCCGGGCUUAACCUGGGAACUGCAUCUGAUACUGGGUGACUAGAGUAGGUGAGAGGGAAGUAGAAUUCCAGGUGUAGCGGUGAAAUGCGUAGAGAUCUGGAGGAAUACCGAUGGCGAAGGCAGCUUCCUGGCAUCAUACUGACACUGAGGUUCGAAAGCGUGGGUAGCAAACAGGAUUAGAUACCCUGGUAGUCCACGCCGUAAACG
rnacentral:rRNA from 1 species